ensembl:lncRNA
AUGAAGUUAGGAGGCAGACAGGAGCAAAUUAGGGUUUUUCAGGCCACAGUGAAAAUGCUCGAUUUUAUUUUAAGUAGAAAUGGUAAGACAAUAGAGAGUGUGGGCAGGAGAGAGGAGAUUCACAUUUAUAUACGAAAAUGUCAACAGCAGUUAUCUGUAGGCAGAAAAAUUUCAGAUUUGUCCCCCCACUUUGGUUUUCUGUAUUUAUUCUCAUUUUCAUAUUCAUUUCUUUCUCUCCUCUCUAGCUCAUUAGCUCUCUCAAAAGAUGAACUCUACCAUUACCCCAACCAAAAGUUAAGAAUCAUUCAGGGACUUCCAUUAUUUAAAAAAUGGUUUCAAUUCAUUCAUUCAUUCAUUCAUGUCUCUUUCAUUAAUUCAUGUCCCCUUUUCAAGUAAACACUUCUCUAAAAAAGGGGGGGGGACUAUAACUGUAUCAAUAGCUAUUCAGCUGAAAGUGUUCGGUUAAAAACAUAACACUGUUUGCAAUUAAUCCAAACGUACAAGUCAGAGGUUCCUAUGUAAGCUAUUAACACUUUAGCCUUUUGAGACAGAAUUAAGUAAGAUGAGGCAGAUUCUAUAAAUUCAAAAGAAGGAAGAACGUGGUGUCACUAAAAAGGCAGAUCCGAGGGGCGCUUAGGUGAUGCAGACCAUUGAGCGCUCAACUCUUGGUUUAGGCUCAGGUCAUUAUCUCACACCCCUCUUCCUCCCCACGUGCAUGUAUGCGCACUCUCUCUUUCUCUCUCUCUCUAAUAAAUAAAUAAAUCUUUUUAAAGAAAAAGCAGACCUGAGCCUCUAUACUCUACCCAACUCCACAGUCAAGGUCCUCAGUUAUUUCUUGAAGAUAAAUGAGACUCAAGUUACCGUUAACUAUGUGAAAUAAUGUUUAAAUUACUUUUUUUUUUGCCAGUACACUGCUUAAAGAUAUUCUGAAAUAACCCAAAUGAACUCUGAAAUAAAUUUGAAAGUUUUUAGUAUGUUUAGUGAUACCCUCUGUGCUGAGGUCCUGAUUAAUUAAGAUCAACUGAAAAUAUAAAUACUAUGUUAAAACUCAACAUUAGGGGCACCUGGGUGGCUCAGCAGGUUAAGUGUCUGACUCUUGUCCUGAGAUCAUGCCCCACGUCAGCCUCCGUACUCAGUGGGGAGUCUGCUUGAGGGUUCGCUCUCUCCCUCUCCCUCUGCCCCUCCCAUCCUCAAACAAACAAAUAAAUCUUAAAAAAAAGAAAAAGGAAAAUUGCCUUGCUCAUGACAAGAGAGUCUGAGUUCAGGAAUUGAUGGAACCAAGACUGGGGAUUAUGAUCAGAGUGGUUCUCACAUUUACACCCUUAAGUUGAAGUUUACUGUUGAGUUUUUUAUCUUUUUAAAGAUUUAUUUAUUUAUUUUAGAGAGAAAGAGAGCACGAGUAGGAGGCACAGAGGAAGAGACAGAAUCUCAAGCAGACUCCACACUGAGCGUGGAGCCAGAUGCAGGGCCCAAUUUCACAACCCUGAGGAUCCCAGGACCCCAAGAUCAUGACCCAAGCCAAAACCAAGAGUUGGCCACCUAACAGACUGAGACACCCAGGCAUCCCUUCGUUGUGUUCUUUCAAAAAAGGCAUCUGCAGUUGAUAGAACAAAACCCCAAAUUAUCUAAGAUUCCUUUCAGUCAUUUACCACUUACUAAAUGUACAACCACUAUUAAAGGGAAAAACUUAUAACACUUUGUGAGUACAAAUAAUAUAUUUUAUUUCAUCCCUGAAAACAAAAACAAAAAACAAAAAUGUCCACAUCUAAUAAGACUGAACAAUUAUUCCAAACUUCACCUGGCAAUGGUAUGUAAUUAAUUUCUUCACAUAAAGAUAGAGUAUACAGAAAAGAGUUUAGAAAGCUACCUUUCAUGAAACAAUAUUUUCUCAUACUUAUUUUAAUAAAGCAUUAUAAUUAUUGCUACUAUGUGUGGUAGCAUAUUAUAAUAACGAACAAUACAAUAUCCAAAACUAAAUUCAAUAUAGCCUAAAUCUAGAAGCUAGCUGCACUUCAGCAGUUAUUAUAGAGAAUAAAUACUAUGAAAUAUAGGGCACCAUACGGCAAUUAAAUUUGCUACAAAGGAAAUUUAAAUAAAGGUGUACUUUGCUCUAUCCUAGAAUUACCCAUGAUUAGGAUUUCUUGUGCUAUAUACAAUAGCUGUUUUCCUGAAAAGAGAGUCAAUCUUCAUAACUUAAAUUAUAUUUUAAAUGUUCUUAAUUGUUUUUAACUGGUCAUUAUAUAAAAUGAAUACCUAAUGUAUCUGUUACACAAAUCCACAAUUCCAUAAAGCCAGAUACUCUUACAUAAUGUCAAUAUUUUCCAAGCAAUUUAAUGCAGCACAAAUACCUUUAUUAUAUACACCUGGCUAAAGACCUUAAGCACCCAGUCUCACAAACAUCUUAGUCUCCCCUUACACUGCCAACAAAACAAAAGCAAAAAUUACCCAAAUAAGGAAAUAAUGUGCUUUCCACCUAACACACUCAAAGGAUUUAACUUUCAAAUUAAUAUUCAUGUAUGUGAAAAAUCAUGAAUUAAUACUUUACUUAUUUUUAACCUCAUCAUAAAAAUAUCUUCUAUUCUUCAGGAUAUAUGUAAGAAAAUGUUAUGUAUGAGACUAGAGAUUAUUAUUUAUGUUAUUUAAUUGUCUCGAUGUUUAGAAUAGGUUACGGACAGUGGCUAUUAACCAUUUCAAGAUUACACCCUUACAAAUGUAAUUUUUCAAAAUAUACAAUAAUUAACCUCCAGUUAUUCUGAAGGAUAGUGCAAAUGAAGACAUUCUUUGGGUCAUGAUUUCAAAACCUUAUUUUCAACAUCAUACUUCCUUUCCCUGCUCAUAAUCUGAGUAACAAAAUAUAGUACUGGAAGUAAGCACAUUUACUAAUAACAUUAGUCUAACAGUUAAACCUACUGAGAACAAAUGACAAAAUGACUCAAUAACAAUAUCCUCCACUUGUCUAAAAAACAUGUGAUAUAUUUAAAUAAAUAUUUUAUAGAAAUGAACCCAUGUCUUUCAGUGUUUUUGUUCCACCUUGAUCUCAAACACAAAA